AGCGAGAGAUGGUCGAAGGGAGAUAACCUUUGUUUACUCACGAGUCGCGAGUUGCGCGCUGUGCGCCGCAGUCCCCAGGAGCCCGGAGGGCAGUAGGUUCCCUUUCCGUUCCACGGGAGCUGUCCUGCUUCGCUCUUUUUUUUCCCCCGACAACAACAAAGUGGAUAUUUCUUCGUCCGCCGGACCUCGCCAACUCUCUCAGAUGAUUUUCUUCUCCAACUCUGUGGAAUAAAAGUACAUUCAAGAAGUUCCAAGGGACAUCUUUCAAGAACAAGUGAAAUAUUUUACUGGAGGAAGUCGGACUAAUUGUCGUCUGACUGCAGUUAAAGUCGUCCAUCAUGGUCAAGCGAUAACGAGGGCCGAGAUUUAGAAUCACGUUUCACCAGUCAACCAUCCCACGAGUAUAGCAGUGCUCGUCAGCUUACACAUCCACUAGUAC